AUGACGCACACUCCUGGUCAGGCCCACGUCUUAUAAAAGCCAAAAACUUGCAAUUUUAGUGCUCUUGUUCUCCCGGUGGACAGCAACUGAGGUUAACUGCUUCGUCUCAUUUCUAACUUUGUGUAAGACGCAGGAUGAUUAGAGAGGCAGUUUAAAAAAUUAUCAUUUGAAAAGGCUUUAUAGCGAAUGGGCGAGAACAAAAUAGACGAGUUUAGCAACGACCAGAGGGACUGGAGCCAUUGACCUCUCUCUUCUUAACCCACACCUCUUGGACUUUCACAUUUUGGACUUUUUUUAUUAUCCAUCAAUUGAAACUUUGAAUAUAAACAAAUGCUUUCCUUGAAUUUAUGUUUUUGGAUUGUUUUGGUUUUCUUUUCAAAGGCUUGGAACAUUUCAUUUGUGAAGUCAAAGCCGCUACCAUGCCGCUCCGUCUCUGCCAGAGCUCUACGCACAAUAGACAAUAGCUCAUCAUCACAUGGCCGUCACGUCAAUGCCCCAGAUUCAACAUGACCGCCACGUAGGCACGAGAGGCACCUGUUUUGGAAUUGGAUCGAGUCAACUGUAUAACUGUGACUCGGAAAUAGAAGAUACACCAAGUACUCUCCUGCCUGCUUCUCUGAUCACCUUGGCUGCAGUGGUCCGGUCUUCUGGAAGCUCUUCCCGUCCACCGAGAGCCUGUAUCACCUCUUCCCGAAAAGCUGCACAACACUCGUCCUGUCUCAGCUUCCACCACAUGGUUCUCUUCUCUGCCUUUGUCUUCCUAAUUUUCCUCCCCACCAUCAGAGUCAUCUUACACACCACCAUCCUAUGCUGUCUAGCCACACUCUCCCCUACCACUACCUUACAGUUGGUAACCUCCUUCAGAUUACAUCGUCUGCACAAGAUGUAAUCCACCUGUGUGCUUCUACCUCCGCUCUUGUAGGUCACCCUAUGUUCGUGCCUCUUCUGGAAAAAAGUGUUCACUACAGCCAUUU